AAGUUAUUUCAUCAGAACAGAAAAAAAUGAAGAAAAAGUUACUUUUUCAGCUGAAUAUAUCAUUAAUUGAACAUAAAACUAACAUGCCCAUCCACUGUCAUUUCUUGGCAGCUUUAACAUUAUAGAUAAUACAUCGUGGUAAUGGGCAAACAUUUAUAAGCUAUUACCAUUUGAUUUUUAUCAAAUUUUUUUGAAAUUUGCAAGAAGAUGAUGUAUUUUAAAUAUGUUCCACUAACACACAGGUAACUGGAGUGAACAAACAGGGCUGUGUCAUGUGGUCAGUAGGUGGCGCUGUAGGCUUCAAUACACACGGCUGCAGUAAAACACAGUAGGAAUAGUUGAGCAUUCUGACAGUGAGGAACAGUAGGCUUUCCUCCUGACUCCAUACUACCUCUUGGCAUGUUUUAGUGCUUUCUGGAAUAAACUAGGAAGAUGAUGCAAAAAGCGGAAAACACAACUGAGUUAAACGUUUACUGCAUCAUAAUUUUUAAUUUUCAUGUGCCACUAAGUGUUAUAUCUAUUUUUAAAGUAAACAAAACCACCUCAAGCCAGUAUAAAAAAAGGUUUUGGUGAACUUCAGGAAGCUUAUGGUUCUUCUAAAAUACUAUUUUAAGAUAUUUUCCCAUUAUUAGUCUUUGUUUUUAACCCAGUGCUGCAGUACAGUACAGUACUCAUAGCUAAUACAAUCUAUUAGCUGUUAAUGAGUGCGUUUAUUAUCUCUGUCUUGUAGACAUUAGCAUGUUGUUCGUAGCUGUAAUGUGAAGUGUUACCCAAUACUUAAGCUGUUUUCUCGCUGUAACUUGUUACAUGAGAGCAGUGAUGUGUCCAUGAACCAGACACUUAUAAAAAAAAAACCUUUAUUUAGCACCAGGAGCAGUUUUUUUUUUUUUUCUUCAGAUCAGGUCUCGCUCAGAUUCAUAAGACGUGGUCCUAGCUUUUCACAGCUCGUGGUGCUCAAACAGGGGUCGUAGUAUUAGUAUUAGUGCUGAGCUGAUAGUAAACUGGUGUAAAACCAAGUGUGACUGAUACACUGAACAUGAAUGGCUCUUCUACAUUUUUUUAUACUUACCAAUCCAAGAUGUUUAAGUUUCUUUUCGCCUCAGAACAUUAUUUUUAAUGUUGGCUCCAUGAAGACUCACAAAUCACCGGAGUGAGACGAACAUUUUCCUGAUUCAUUUUUAUUUUUUCGGUUGACAUUUCAGAGCAGACUUUUGUUUAUUUUUCUAAAUUUUAAUCGACCACCUCCAUAAUCCUUUUAAAGGUUCAAUGUGUAAGAUUUGUGUGUUGUCGUGUCAGGUUUGUGUUGGAGUCAGUCUGGUUGUUGGUUGACGUUCGCCAACUCAGUUUCUAAACUAAUAACUGUUCCAUUUCUCUACGUCCACAAUAGCAGCGUGUACACUUGUAUGCAGAUGACUCUCUGUUUUGGGGUAAAAAUAGCUGGUUAGAACCUCGGUUGGAAGCGGUUUUUCGUCGAUAUUAACAGACUCCAUUUUCUAACUCGCAAUUUGUGAAUGAAGAGAAUUGUUGUCAAAGGGUUUGUUAAACGUUCUUUCGAAAAGAUGUUAAAGAGCAUUUAGUUUAAGUGUCUGAUCCCUGUAGAACACCUUAUAUAAUAAUGUAGUUAUUAAUAGUCAAGGUGUAUUCUAUGUUUGGUGGUUAGUUACAUGACAUAACAACAGCUAUGAGCAGAAAGACAGACAUUAAAUGACUUAGAAAUGAGCGGAAGCCUUUUCACAGAAUAACUAACCUGAAUCCUCUACAUCAGAGAUUGAAUCACGGAUGUAAAGGACUCAGACAGUUGUUGACUAACGCCACUUCCAACACAAAACAGACUCCGACACAAACUUCCCGUAACCACGCCAAACCUUAUUUAUUAUGAUUCAAGGUACGAGGCCCAAAUCUUCCUGGUAGAUCUGAACUCAGAGGGACCUAGUGGUUAAAUAAAGGAAAUAAAUUUGUGUAAUUUCAGAUCUGUUAGCGCCUAUACUGCACAUCGUCUCCGUAGUUCAGGGUGUGUUUUCGUUGGCUGCUGCCGUUCCUGUUGUCCUCAGCUCUUUCAGUGGAUUCUGCUGGAAAAACCUCCUGUUGUGUGAGUUCACAUGGAUCUGUCUGUCCGUCUGUCUCUUCUACAUAUAGUUUACUCGCUGUCUGGUUGAAGCCUGCUUGUCCUUUAAACUGGAAUGAAAGGUUGUGACUUUGUUUUCAUGAAGCCACUAACUUAAAUCUAACCUGAUCUCAACUUUCGUCUUAAAAAGUCCAGACAGAGCCGCGUUCGUUCGACCCGUCCUAAAUACUGGAGCUUUUCUUCCACCUGUGUUCAGUCUCUCUUUAUAACAGAUGAAUCGUACUUGGACCACAUGUACAGUACUGAUGAAACCCGCGUACACCUGUGUCUGUAAAGGUUCAGUAUGGAAGACAAGUGCGUGAUUAUGUGUUUACUGGAAGUUGGAGUCUGUUACUGGUCGUAUAGAGUUGGUUCAUCUGAGAACUAGGUUUGUUUUCCACCACAGACACAUAUAGUCAUUAGGGCUGUGUAUCGGCAAGAAUCUGGCAAUACAAUACGAAUCACAAUACUAGGAUCACGAUACGAUAUAUCAUGAUACUGUUAAAAGGCAAUUUUUUUUA